AACGAACGCUGGCGGCAGGCUUAACACAUGCAAGUCGAGCGCCCCGCAAGGGGAGCGGCAGACGGGUGAGUAACGCGUGGGAAUCUACCCAUCUCUACGGAAUAACGCAUGGAAACGUGUGCUAAUACCGUAUACGUCCUGCGGGAGAAAGAUUUAUCGGAGAUGGAUGAGCCCGCGUUGGAUUAGCUAGUUGGUGGGGUAAAGGCCGACCAAGGCGACGAUCCAUAGCUGGUCUGAGAGGAUGAGCAGCCACACUGGGACUGAGACACGGCCCAGACUCGUGCGGGAGGCAGCAGUGGGGAAUAUUGGACAAGGGGCGCAAGGCUGAGCCGGCCAUGCCGCGUGAGUGAUGAAGGCCCUAGGGUUGUAAAGCUCUUUCACCGGUGAAGAUAAUGACGGUAACCGGAGAAGAAGCCCCGGCUAACUUCGUGCCAGCCGCCGCCGUAAUAC
rnacentral:rRNA from 1 species